AGUAAACUAAUAUAGAAAUUGAAGAUGACACUGAAAGUUAAGAUUUUCAUGUGGUAUCCUCGGAGAGGAUUUGUGCUAAUUAAAGACAAUAUUGCUAGACGCAACUAACAAGGAAGCAAGAAUUGUAGUUUUUGUAUUCAAAAUGAGACAAUAAAACACCUCUUUUUUUAAUGCAAGUUUGCGUGUUCUACAUGGUCCGUCAUCCAAAUAGCGCCCAAUUUGUAUCCGCUAACAAGUGUUGCCAAUAUAUAUGGUCACUGGCUUGAUGGAAUGCCAAAUACGAUUAGUACGCUAAUUCGGAUGGGAACAUCUGCCUUACAAUGGCCGGUUGGGCUAUGUAGAAAUGAUUGUGUUUUUAAUGGCAAAUAUCCUCUCCUAUGCAAGUUAUCUACUGUUGUACACAUUGGCUUCAUAUGUGGUCUGCGCUGCACUGAACGGAUUACUAGUUGUUGUUCAAGGUGGCGUGUAUGCGGUUGGAGCGGGUGGUUAGGGAGGUUUUUACCCAACAUGGGUGGCAGCAUAAUCUCCGGAUUGGUCCACCUCCUUCAUCGACAUAGGCAUAGUUUUGAUCUCAUAUGA
rnacentral:rRNA from 1 species